rnacentral:sRNA from 2 species
AGGUACCCCCGUACACGCCGAUUCCUCCGCGCCAUCCGCACCCAUCUGACAGCUACACGCUACGUUUUGUCGGCC